UUCUCUCUCAUCUAGCCCACCGCUCCCUUCACAUUCCCCAUUUUGGAACUCAACCUUCAUCUUUCUUCUUCCAUCGUAAUCCACUGUCUCUUUUUAUCCCUCCAAUCUCAUCCUUUUGUCACAUUUCCAUUUAGAUAGAAGCAUCCAGCCAUGUCUAUUUUUCAGCUUCUUCUUAGAUCAGAAAGUUAUGGUUUUUAGUACAAAGUUCAGAGUUCGUGAUAUUUCAUCAUUCUCUUAGAUCUACGAAACUCUGGUGACGACUAUGGUAUUUUCGGUGAUUUUGUGGAGGAAGGCAGUUUGAGAGUGGUAAAUCUGUGGUUUAUCGACAACGUUGAUUCUUACCUAUCUCUAUCUAUUCAAGGGAAACCUAGAAAAAAGUGAAGCGGAGAAAGUCUAAGUAGAUUUCACUAUGGAAUUAGAAGCGGAUGUUGGGCAAGUAUGUCUCAUAUGUUUCCAGUUGUUGAAAGAGAAGAAUUGAUUGAAGCUUUUGAGAACACUUCUGGUUCUCGAUAUUUCUGUUAUUGCCUAGUCACGGAUGCUUCGUCUCGUGAUGUAUUUGAAUCCUUUUAUCAGGUCUCAGAUUUGUAGGUCACUAAGACGAUGAUAAUGUUACCAGGAAUAUUCAAGAGCCUAAUACGUCAUCGUAUCAUUCCAACUGUUCUGACUGAAGCAGUGGGUUGAUCUCUAUUUCGAUUCAGCCGAAUGCAAUCAGGUGCAGCAACUCUAAUUAGGAAAGUUGGAAAUCACAAGUUCACAACUAUUCUUAGUGUUUAGGUUAUUUAAAUCCCUUUCAUUCUUUGCUGUUACUUCUUCAUCAAAAUUUCUUUAUGAGAUUUUAUAAUUUGUAACCAAUCUAAACUCAUGCUCUUUUACCCUUUACCUCAUUUUAUUGGAUGGCUAUAUUUCAUUUUUAAAUAUUUGUGAUUUGUUUUAUAAUCA